rnacentral:ribozyme from 1 species
CAGGGGGAGGCCCGCCGCAGUCUCAUCUCCAAGAGGAGGUCCACCCGCCGCUCGGCCAAGCUUGCCGAGACCUCCUAAGUUUAGGGAGGGGAGAGGCAUGGGUCCCCCAUAGGAAAGAAA